GAUGAACGCUGGCGGCGUGCCUAAUACAUGCAAGUCGAGCGAAUGGAUUAAGAGCUUGCUCUUAUGAAGUUAGCGGCGGACGGGUGAGUAACACGUGGGUAACCUGCCCAUAAGACUGGGAUAACUCCGGGAAACCGGGGCUAAUACCGGAUAACAUUUUGAACCGCAUGGUUCGACAUUGAAAGGAGGAUUCGGCUGUCACUUAUGGAUGGCGCCGCGUCGCAUUAGCUAGUUGGUGAGGUAACGGCUCACCAAGGCAACGAUGCGGAGCCGCCCUGAGAGGGUGAUCGGCCACACUGGGACUGAGACACGGCCCAGACUCCUACGGGAGGCAGCAGUAGGGAAUCUUCCGCAAUGGACGAAAGUCUGACGGAGCAACGCCGCGUGAGUGAUGAAGGCUUUCGGGUCGUAAAACUCUGUUGUUAGGGAAGAACAAGUGCUAGUUGAAUAAGCUGGCACCUUGACGGUACCUAACCAGAAAGCCACGGUUAACUACGUGCCAGCCGCCGCUGUAA
rnacentral:rRNA from 1 species